rnacentral:lncRNA from 1 species
ACUUUCGGGGAUGGAGGGGAAGCCCAGGUACUCUCUGUGCUUCCUAACUGGCCGUGGAAGGGGAGGUGGAGACGGGAAGCGGCAGUCGGUUUCACUGCAGCGUCUGGGAUUCCUGCCCCGAGUUCUUCCUCAGAAACCGGCGGCGGCUGCGGACAGGGGCGGCUGGGCUGAGGGGCGGGAAGCCGCUGGCCAGCUUCACCCUCUCUCUGGGGCUCCUGCAGGGCAAGGGGAGCGGAUGUGAAGUUGUCCCUGUAGAUAUAAUUAACAGCAUUGUGGACAAGACCACAAGUUCAGAAGGAGCUUACAAAGGAGAAAUUCAUGCUGCAAAUGGUGACACUUAAGCCAAAAGCAAUAAAAUGCAUUCAUCUGGGACACUGUCGCCCUGGGGUUUAUGGCUUCCACAGGACAAUCCAAGUCUGGGCUUCAGACCUCGUCAUUCUGCCACACUGUGACCCCGAGGCAGGGCGCGCCAUAAACAGACCGGGAGGCUGCUCUGUGUGCCCUCGCUGCGGGCUGGCUGCUCUGGGAAGAACACGCAGCCCUCAACAGGGAAAUGCGAUAACUAUUCUGCUUCUUGGAAUGAUUUGCAGAUUCAUGCAUUCAAACAUUCUUCAGAUGCUGACUGGUGGUAUAUGUCACCACGUUCCCGGUGGGAUGCGACCUGGUGGUGGAAAACAGACAGCUCACUUAAACGCCAGUUCGGCCACUUACUAACCGUGUGACCUUGGGAAACUUACUUAACUUCUCUGAGCCGAAGUUUACUCACAGAUGUAAAGUAGGGGAGGUCAAGAAUGUGCUGGAACACCAUAAAGAUGGACUGAAACCUGUGACCAUUCUUGUUGCCUCUGGUAUUUGUGUCCUGAAGAAGCUGGACCCUUUGUCACGGAGCUGAACACACACACCUGGCCCAGGAGCUGGUGUCGCUGAAGGAGGAUCCAGGAGAAGGUGGGACAGCUGCAGGCCUGGCCCCGGCCCCAAGCCAACAAGAGUCACCGAUCUCUUACUGUGUGCUGAACCACAAGACCUGUGCGAAACUCAGAGAUCCCCAGGGGGAGAAAAGUUCGAGCUUACCCACGUAAACCCUGCAGGAGCAACUGGGCUGGUCAAUAUGUCUAGACUGGGGCCAGGGAGCCCUCCGAGACAUCUCGUGCCAUGUCCUGAGCACAGUCAAAUUCAGCCUUCCGCCACUGACCCUCUCAGCCACCCCCCAAACCUUUUAUGGACUGAAUUCUGAACGAGCCAAAGUGCAACAGUCGAAAACAGCAACAUGUCAUCAGAUUGUGUUAUGAAGAGUAGAAUCUCCAUGCCUGGGUCUCUUCUGAGUAUCUAGAAUGAUCACGAUGGAGAGAGGGUGGAGACCACAAUUAUACUCUGCCCAGGCACCUACAGAGAGAAUGGAUGAGAGAUGACGUCGACUAGAAGAUUUCUGACUUGAUGGUUUUAAAGAUGAAUAAAGGGG